rnacentral:rRNA from 1 species
GGCCUACCAUGGUUUUAACGGGUAACGGGGAAUUAGGGUUCGGUUCCGGAGAGGGAGCCUGAGAGAUGGCUACCACUUCCAAGGAAGGCAGCAGGCGCGCAAAUUACCCAAUCCCGACACGGGGAGGUAGUGACAAUAAAUAACAAUACAGGGUUCUUUAGGAUCUUGUAAUUGGAAUGAGUACAAUUUAAAUCUCUUAACGAGGAACAAUUGGAGGGCAAGUCUGGUGCCAGCAGCCGCGGUAAUUCCAGCUCCAAUAGCGUAUAUUAAAGUUGUUGCAGUUAAAAAGCUCGUAGUUGAACCUCGGAAUCAAUGGGUCGGUCAUGCCAAUGGUAUGUACUGGCCUCUUUGGUUCUCACCUUCUAAGGAACCAUAAUGUCAUUCAUUUGAUGUUUUGGGGAAUUAGGACUGUUACCUUGAAAAAAUUAGAGUGUUUAAAGCAGGCUCACGCUUGAAUACAUUAGCAUGGAAUAAUGAAAUAGGACAUCGCAUUCUAUUUUGUUGGUUUCUAGGAUCGAUGUAAUGAUUAAUAGGGAUAGUUGGGGGCAUUAGUAUUCAAUUGUCAGAGGUGAAAUUCUUGGAUUUAUUGAAGACUAACUACUGCGAAAGCAUUUGCCAAGGAUGUUUUCAUUAAUCAAGAACGAAAGUUGGGGGAUCGAAGACGAUCAGAUACCGUCGUAGUCUCAACCAUAAACUAUGCCGACUGGGAAUCGGGCGAUGUUAUUUUUCGUGACUCGCUCGGCGCCCCGAG